AAUAGAUACCCUGGUAGUCCACGCCGUAAACGGUGGGCACUAGGUGUGGGCGACAUUCCACGGGUUCCGUGCCGUAGCUAACGCAUUAAGCGCCCCGCCUGGGGAGUACGGCCGCAAGGCUAAAGCUCAAAGGAAUUGACGGGGGCCCGCACAAGCGGCGGAGCAUGCGGAUUAAUUCGACGCAACGCGAAGAACCUUACCAAGGCUUGACAUACACCGGAAACGUCCAGAGAUGGGCGCCCCCUUGCGGUCGGUGUACAGGUGGUGCAUGGCUGUCGUCAGCUCGUGUCGUGAGAUGUUGGGUUAAGUCCCGCAACGAGCGCAACCCUUGUCCCGUGUUACCAGCAGGCCCUUGUGGUGCUGGGGACUCACGGGAGACCGCCGGGGUCAACUCGGAGGAAGGUGGGGACGACGUCAAGUCAUCAUGCCCCUUAUGUCUUGGGCUGCACACGUGCUACAAUGGCCGGUACAAUGAGCUGCGAUACCGCGAGGUGGAGCGAAUCUCAAAAAGCCGGUCUCAGUUCGGAUUGGGGUCUGC
rnacentral:rRNA from 1 species